rnacentral:lncRNA from 1 species
UACAAUAUACGCUCAGAAAUACAUCUCGUUCAUGAAUAGGCCUACACUGGGUGUUAUUUUUUGCUUCUUAGGCUUACUCACGUCAAAGGCCCAUCCAUGAUCCAUUAAUACCUUACAUGGGCCAAAUAGGUAGUUAGCUCGUGCAUGUGAAUCUAUCGAUCAUCUCGCUGCAUCGCUCGCCUAGCCUGGACACCUAUUCGUCAUUGUACCGCGUCGCACGACGUGCCCAAGCAACUCUGUCGGUUGAAGGCGGCUACUAGUGGUAGCAAGACUCAGGACUGGCAAGACUGCAAGAGAUGAUGCACGGUCGGGCCUCAUCAGGCUAUGACUCCAACAAACGACAAUCAGGAUUGGAAGUUUGAUAAUGUCUUGCAUCCUGUAGAUUUCUUUUCUCACUUCAAUUCAAUGCAGAUUUUAUUAUUUGAUAAUAUGUUGUAUCUUGUAGAUUAUCAUGUGUGCACAUGGAUGAGAAUCAGAGAUUGGACUUUCAUUCAGUAUUAUAG